AGAGUUUGAUCCUGGCUCAGGAUAAACGCUGGCGGCGUGCCUAACACAUGCAAGUCGAACGCUCUGAGUAAUCAGAGAGUGGCGGACGGGUGAGUAACACGUGGGUUAUCUACCUUUGGGUGAGGAAUACCGGCGAGAAAUCGCCGACAAAACCGCAUAGCUUCGGGAGACUGAAGAAAGUCGCAAGACGCCCAAAGAUG
rnacentral:rRNA from 1 species